UACGUAGGGGGCAAGCGUUGUCCGGAAUCAUUGGGCGUAAAGCGCACGUAGGCGGCCCUGUAAGUCCGUUGUGAAAGUCAAAGGCUCAACCUUUGAAUGCCGAUGGAUACUGCAGGGCUAGAGUCCGGAAGAGGCGAGUGGAAUUCCUGGUGUAGCGGUGGAAUGCGCAGAUAUCAGGAGGAACACCAAUAGCGAAGGCAGCUCGCUGGGACGGUACUGACGCUAAGGUGCGAAAGCUAGGGGAGCGAACGGG
rnacentral:rRNA from 1 species